rnacentral:lncRNA from 1 species
UGACUUCACCAGGAGGUUCUCCCUAACUGGUACUCUUCAGGCUCCGGAGCAGUAGUUCGGAUCCCACAAAGUCCUGGGAGAAGGCGGCGGGCGCGCUGCUAGGGCACUGGUGCAGAGCCAUGGUCAGAGAUAGGACUGGGGUCCAGGAUACCUUCUUUCUUUGGUGCGAUGGUAGAGAGCAAACGGUGGAAGCUUCUCUUAACGUUCGUUCCUGUGAGCUUCGUUAAGAGGGUUGCCUGCCCCUGACUGCUCUCUUGAUAGCCCACCACCUCGGUUGGGACAGCUUCUGAGCGUUUAGUCAGGGUAUGCCGCGGCGUCCUCCCAAAGAACAGCUACAGAAACAAAGAACAAAGCAAAACAAAAGAUAGAAAAGAAGACAAAACGGCUUGG